UCAUUACACAAAUAUGAAGGCGGGCUGGCACCUCUCGGGGUGGCAGCCUUGCUGAAUUAUUCACCCGUGUCUUUUGCGUACUUCUUGUUUCCUUGGUGGGCUCGCCCACCACAAGGACCAAUCCAUAAACCUUUUUGUAAUGGCAAUCAGCGUCAGUAACAACAUAAUAAUUACAACUUUCAACAACGGAUCUCUUGGUUCUGGCAUCGAUGAAGAACGCAGCGAAAUGCGAUAAGUAGUGUGAAUUGCAGAAUUCAGUGAAUCAUCGAAUCUUUGAACGCACAUUGCGCCCUUUGGUAUUCCAAAGGGCAUGCCUGUUCGAGCGUCAUUUGUACCCUCAAGCUUUGCUUGGUGUUGGGCGUCUUUUUGUCUUCCCUUGCGGGAGACUCGCCUUAAAGUCAUUGGCAGCCGGCCUACUGGUUUCGGAGCGCAGCACAAGUCGCGCUCUCUUCCAGCCCCAAGGUCUAGCAUCCAACAAGCCUUUUUUUCAACUUUUGACCUCGGAUCAGGUAGGGAUACCCGCUGAACUUAAGCAUAUCAAUAAGCGGAGGAAAAGAAACCAACAGGGAUUGCCCUAGUAACGGCGAGUGAAGCGGCAACAGCUCAAAUUUGAAAUCUGGCUCUUUUAGAGUCCGAGUUGUAAUUUGCAGAGGGCGCUUUGGCUUUGGCAGCGGUCCAAGUUCCUUGGAACAGGACGUCACAGAGGGUGAGAAUCCCGUACGUGGUCGCUGGCUAUUGCCGUGUAAAGCCCCUUCGACGAGUCGAGUUGUUUGGGAAUGCAGCUCUAAAUGGGAGGUACAUUUCUUCUAAAGCUAAAUAUUGGCCAGAGACCGAUAGCGCACAAGUAGAGUGAU
rnacentral:rRNA from 1 species